CCUACGGGACGCAGCAGUGGGGGAUAUUGCACAAUGGGGGGAACCCUGAUGCAGCGACGCCGCGUGGGUGAAGGAGCGUUUCGGCGCGUAAAGCCCUAUCGGCAGGGAAGAAGAUGACGGUACCUGGCCAAGAAGCCCCGGCUAACUACGUGCCAGCAGCCGCGGUAAUACGUAGGGGGCAAGCGUUAUCCGGAUUUACUGGGGGUAAAGGGGGGGCAGACGGCAAUGCAAGCCGGGAGGGAAAGCCCGGGGGCUAACCCCGGGACUGCUC
rnacentral:rRNA from 1 species